rnacentral:ncRNA from 12 species
GGUUGGGCGAAUUAUAUUCGUUUACAAGCAUCUGACUUCUGGGGUGGGAAGUC